GACGAACGCUGGCGGCGUGCCUAAUACAUGCAAGUAGAACGCACAGUUUAUACCGUAGCUUGCUACACCAUAGACUGUGAGUUGCGAACGGGUGAGUAACGCGUAGGUAACCUGCCUGGUAGCGGGGGAUAACUAUUGGAAACGAUAGCUAAUACCGCAUAAUAUUGAUUAUUGCAUGAUAAUUGAUUGAAAGAUGCUAUUGCAUCACUACCAGAUGGACCUGCGUUGUAUUAGCUAGUAGGUGAGGUAACGGCGCACCUAGGCGACGGUACAUAGCCGACCUGGGGGGGUGGUCGGCCACCCCGGGACUGGGACGCGGCCCAGACUCCUACGGGAGGCAGCAGUAGGGAAUCUUCGGCAAUGGACGAAAGUCUGACCGAGCAACGCCGCGUGAGUGAAGAAGGUUUUCGGAUCGUAAAGCUCUGUUGUAAGAGAAGAACGGGUGUGGGAGUGGAAAGUUCACACUGUGACGGUAUCUUACCAGAAAGGGACGGCUAACUACGUG
rnacentral:rRNA from 1 species